rnacentral:tRNA from 1 species
AUUUAUAUAGUUUAAUAAAACAUUAUUUUUUCAUAAUAAAAUUAGAAUAAAUUUAUUCUUAUAAAUA